rnacentral:misc_RNA from 1 species
CCAUCCAAUAUCUGACUGAGCAU